rnacentral:rRNA from 1 species
GACGAACGCUGGCGGCGUGCUUAACACAUGCAAGUCGAACGGAAAGGCCCUGCUUUUGUGGGGUGCUCGAGUGGCGAACGGGUGAGUAACACGUGAGUAACCUGCCCUUGACUUUGGGAUAACUUCAGGAAACUGGGGCUAAUACCGGAUAGGAGCUCCUGCUGCAUGGUGGGGGUUGGAAAGUUUCGGCGGUUGGGGAUGGACUCGCGGCUUAUCAGCUUGUUGGUGGGGUAGUGGCUUACCAAGGCUUUGACGGGUAGCCGGCCUGAGAGGGUGACCGGCCACAUUGGGACUGAGAGACGGACCAGAAUCCUACGGGAGGCAGCAGUGGGGAAUAUUGCACAAUGGGCGGAAGCCUGAUGUAGCAACGCCGCGUGCGGGAUGACGGCCUUCGGGUUGUAAACCGCUUUCGCCUGUGACGAAGCGUGAGUGACGGUAAUGGGUAAAGAAGCACCGGCUAACUACGUG